rnacentral:rRNA from 1 species
GACGAACGCUGGCGGCGUGCUUAACACAUGCAAGUCGAGCGGUAAGGCCCUUUCGGGGGUACACGAGCGGCGAACGGGUGAGUAACACGUGGGUGACCUGCCCUCAGCUCUGGGAUAAGCCUGGGAAACCGGGUCUAAUACUGGAUAUGACUCCAUGACGCAUGUUGUGGGGUGGAAAGCCUUGUGCGGCUGAGGAUGGGCCCGCGGCCUAUCAGCUUGUUGGUGGGGUGANGGCCUACCAAGGCGACGACGGGUAGCCGGCCUGAGAGGGCGACCGGCCACACUGGGACUGAGACACGGCCCAGACUCCUACGGGAGGCAGCAGUGGGGAAUCUUGCGCAAGUGGGCGAAAGCCUGACGCAGCGACGCCGCGUGAGGGAUGACGGCC